AGAGUUUGAUCAUGGCUCAGGAUGAACGCUAGCUACAGGCUUAACACAUGCAAGUCGAGGGGAAACGACAUCGAAAGCUUGCUUUUGAUGGGCGUCGACCGGCGCACGGGUGAGUAACGCGUAUCCAACCUGCCCAUCACUUGGGGAUAACCUUGCGAAAGUAAGACUAAUACCCAAUGAUAUCUCUAGAAGGCAUCUGAAAGAGAUUAAAGAUUUAUCGGUGAUGGAUGGGGAUGCGUCUGAUUAGCUUGUUGGCGGGGUAACGGCCCACAAAGCAACGAUCAGUAGGGGUUCUGAGAGGAAGGUCCCCCANAUUGGAACUGAGACACGGUCCAAACUCCUACGGGCGGA
rnacentral:rRNA from 1 species